rnacentral:lncRNA from 1 species
UAAGCUUAUUAGAUUCACUGGCUUUCUAUUACUAGCGACAGUAACGACAAUAUGUUUGAGGAGCAAGGGUUCGGAAAACGAUUGUGACACAAGUUUUAUUGAAAAAAAUCAAUUUGACCCCUCUAAAGCUAAAAUUUAUAAUAUUUUAAAUUUUACUGUAAAGAACUUUUAUAUAAUUUUUUAAAAAAGAGAGAGGCAAUGG